rnacentral:ribozyme from 13 species
AAUCAAAGAAAAAGAAAACAAAGAAAAAGAAAAAGAAAAUCAAAACAAAAAAGAUCUUCUUUUUCUACUUCUUCUCCCUCUCCUGCUCGAUCUCCCGCUCGAUCUCCCGAUCCAAAUUCUCCUUCUCUUUCUCUUCAGCAUUUUGCAUCUGACAGAGAGGGAGAGAGGGAUGAAGAUGAUGAUGAUGAAUUUAAUGAAUUUGAUUAUUCUAAUGCUUCAAAAUUUCUGAAAGAUGAAGAAGAAGAGGAAGAA